rnacentral:rRNA from 1 species
GGGUUGUGAGGUUAAGCGACUAAGCGUACACGGUGGAUGCCCUGGCAGUCAGAGGCGAUGAAGGACGUGCUAAUCUGCGAUAAGCGUCGGUGAGGUGAUAUGAACCGUUAUAACCGGCGAUUUCCGAAUGGGGAAACCCAGUGUGUUUCGACACACUAUCAUUAACUGAAUCCAUAGGUUAAUGAGGCGAACCGGGGGAACUGAAACAUCUAAGUACCCCGAGGAAAAGAAAUCAACCGAGAUUCCCCCAGUAGCGGCGAGCGAACGGGGAGGAGCCCAGAGCCUGAAUCAGUGUGUGUGUUAGUGGAAGCGUCUGGAAAGGCGCGCGAUACAGGGUGACAGCCCCGUACACAAAAAUGCACAUAUUGUGAGCUCGAUGAGUAGGGCGGGACACGUGGUAUCCUGUCUGAAUAUGGGGGGACCAUCCUCCAAGGCUAAAUACUCCUGACUGACCGAUAGUGAACCAGUACCGUGAGGGAAAGGCGAAAAGAACCCCGGCGAGGGGAGUGAAAAAGAACCUGAAACCGUGUACGUACAAGCAGUGGGAGCCUCUUAAUGGGGUGACUGCGUACCUUUUGUAUAAUGGGUCAGCGACUUAUAUUCUGUAGCAAGGUUAACCGAAUAGGGGAGCCGAAGGGAAACCGAGUCUUAACUGGGCGUUAAGUUGCAGGGUAUAGACCCGAAACCCGGUGAUCUAGCCAUGGGCAGGUUGAAGGUUGGGUAACACUAACUGGAGGACCGAACCGACUAAUGUUGAAAAAUUAGCGGAUGACUUGUGGCUGGGGGUGAAAGGCCAAUCAAACCGGGAGAUAGCUGGUUCUCCCCGAAAGCUAUUUAGGUAGCGCCUCGUGAAUUCAUCUCCGGGGGUAGAGCACUGUUUCGGCAAGGGGGUCAUCCCGACUUACCAACCCGAUGCAAACUGCGAAUACCGGAGAAUGUUAUCACGGGAGACACACGGCGGGUGCUAACGUCCGUCGUGAAGAGGGAAACAACCCAGACCGCCAGCUAAGGUCCCAAAGUCAUGGUUAAGUGGGAAACGAUGUGGGAAGGCCCAGACAGCCAGGAUGUUGGCUUAGAAGCAGCCAUCAUUUAAAGAAAGCGUAAUAGCUCACUGGUCGAGUCGGCCUGCGCGGAAGAUGUAACGGGGCUAAACCAUGCACCGAAGCUGCGGCAGCGACACUAUGUGUUGUUGGGUAGGGGAGCGUUCUGUAAGCCUGUGAAGGUGNNNNNNNNNNNNNNNNNNNNNNNNNNNNNNNNNNNNNNNNNNNNNNNNNNNNNNNNNNNNNNNNNNNNNNNNNNNNNNNNNNNNNNNNNNNNNNNNNNNAUGCUGGAGGUAUCAGAAGUGCGAAUGCUGACAUAAGUAACGAUAAAGCGGGUGAAAAGCCCGCUCGCCGGAAGACCAAGGGUUCCUGUCCAACGUUAAUCGGGGCAGGGUGAGUCGACCCCUAAGGCGAGGCCGAAAGGCGUAGUCGAUGGGAAACAGGUUAAUAUUCCUGUACUUGGUGUUACUGCGAAGGGGGGACGGAGAAGGCUAUGUUGGCCGGGCGACGGUUGUCCCGGUUUAAGCGUGUAGGCUGGUUUUCCAGGCAAAUCCGGAAAAUCAAGGCUGAGGCGUGAUGACGAGGCACUACGGUGCUGAAGCGACAAAUGCCCUGCUUCCAGGAAAAGCCUCUAAGCAUCAGGUAACAUCAAAUCGUACCCCAAACCGACACAGGUGGUCAGGUAGAGAAUACCAAGGCGCUUGAGAGAACUCGGGUGAAGGAACUAGGCAAAAUGGUGCCGUAACUUCGGGAGAAGGCACGCUGAUAUGUAGGUGAAGCGACUUGCUCGUGGAGCUGAAAUCAGUCGAAGAUACCAGCUGGCUGCAACUGUUUAUUAAAAACACAGCACUGUGCAAACACGAAAGUGGACGUAUACGGUGUGACGCCUGCCCGGUGCCGGAAGGUUAAUUGAUGGGGUUAGCGGUAACGCGAAGCUCUUGAUCGAAGCCCCGGUAAACGGCGGCCGUAACUAUAACGGUCCUAAGGUAGCGAAAUUCCUUGUCGGGUAAGUUCCGACCUGCACGAAUGGCGUAAUGAUGGCCAGGCUGUCUCCACCCGAGACUCAGUGAAAUUGAACUCGCUGUGAAGAUGCAGUGUACCCGCGGCAAGACGGAAAGACCCCGUGAACCUUUACUAUAGCUUGACACUGAACAUUGAGCCUUGAUGUGUAGGAUAGGUGGGAGGCUUUGAAGUGUGGACGCCAGUCUGCAUGGAGCCGACCUUGAAAUACCACCCUUUAAUGUUUGAUGUUCUAACGUGGGCCCCUUACCGGGGUUGCGGACAGUGUCUGGUGGGUAGUUUGACUGGGGCGGUCUCCUCCUAAAGAGUAACGGAGGAGCACGAAGGUUGGCUAAUCCUGGUCGGACAUCAGGAGGUUAGUGCAAUGGCAUAAGCCAGCUUGACUGCGAGCGUGACGGCGCGAGCAGGUGCGAAAGCAGGUCAUAGUGAUCCGGUGGUUCUGAAUGGAAGGGCCAUCGCUCAACGGAUAAAAGGUACUCCGGGGAUAACAGGCUGAUACCGCCCAAGAGUUCAUAUCGACGGCGGUGUUUGGCACCUCGAUGUCGGCUCAUCACAUCCUGGGGCUGAAGUAGGUCCCAAGGGUAUGGCUGUUCGCCAUUUAAAGUGGUACGCGAGCUGGGUUUAGAACGUCGUGAGACAGUUCGGUCCCUAUCUGCCGUGGGCGCUGGAGAACUGAGGGGGGCUGCUCCUAGUACGAGAGGACCGGAGUGGACGCAUCACUGGUGUUCGGGUUGUCAUGCCAAUGGCACUGCCCGGUAGCUAAAUGCGGAAGAGAUAAGUGCUGAAAGCAUCUAAGCACGAAACUUGCCCCGAGAUGAGUUCUCCCUGACUCCUUGAGAGUCCUGAAGGAACGUUGAAGACGACGACGUUGAUAGGCCGGGUGUGUAAGCGCAGCGAUGCGUUGAGCUAACCGGUACUAAUGAACCGUGAGGCUUAACCUUACAACGCCGAAG